rnacentral:rRNA from 1 species
CCUACGGGAGGCAGCAGUGGGGGAAUCUUGCGCAAUGGGCGAAAGCCUGACGCAGCCAUGCCGCGUGAAUGAUGAAGGUCUUAGGAUUGUAAAAUUCUUUUCACCGGGGACGGAUAAUGACGGUACCCGGAGAAGAAGCCCCGGCUAACUUCGUGCCAGCAGCCGCGGUAAUACGAAGGGGGGCUAGCGUUGCUCGGAAUUACUGGGCGUAAAGGGAGCGUAGGCGGAUAGUUAAGUCAGAGGUGAAAGCCCAGGGCUCAACCUUGGAAUUGCCUUUGAUACUGGCUAUCUUGAGUAUGGGAGAGGUAAGCGGAACUCCGAGUGUAGAGGUGAAAUUCGUAGAUAUUCGGAAGAACACCAGUGGCGAAGGCGGCUUACUGGCCCAUUACUGACGCUGAGGCUCGAAAGCGUGGGGAGCAAACAGGAUUAGAUACCCUGGUAGUCCACGCCGUAAACGAUGAGAGCUAGUUGUCGGCAUGCAUGCAUGUCGGUGGACGCGAGCGUACGACAUAAGUACUCCUCCGUCCGUCGGGGUAGGGUACGGGUCCGGCGAAGAAGUUAAAACGUUUAAAACGUUAAGUAAGUUAGUUACGGUUACGUGUUAGACGUCGCCGACGGACGACCGACGAGGGGAGGUUAGG